rnacentral:rRNA from 1 species
GAUGAACGCUGGCGGCGUGCCUAAUACAUGCAAGUCGAGCGAACAGACGAGGAGCUUGCUCCUCUGACGUUAGCGGCGGACGGGUGAGUAACACGUGGAUAACCUACCUAUAAGACUGGGAUAACUUCGGGAAACCGGAGCUAAUACCGGAUAAUAUAUUGACCCGCAUGGUUCAAUAGUGAAAGACGGUUUUGCUGUCACUUAUAGAUUGAUCCGCGCCGCAUUAGCUAGUUGGUAAGGUAACGGCUUACCAAGGCAACGAUGCGUAGCCGACCUGAGAGGGUGAUCGGCCACACUGGAACUGAGACACGGUCCAGACUCCUACGGGAGGCAGCAGUAGGGAAUCUUCCGCAAUGGGCGAAAGCCUGACGGAGCAACGCCGCGUGAGUGAUGAAGGUCUUCGGAUCGUAAAGCUCUGUUAUUAGGGAAGAACAAAUGUGUAAGUAACUAUGCACGUCUUGACGGUACCUAAUCAGAAAGCCACGGCUAACUACGUG